rnacentral:tRNA from 1 species
GACACUGUAGCUCAGCUGGAUAGAGCGGCCGCCUCCUAAGCGGCAGGUCGUGCGUUCGACUCGCAUUAGUGUCA